rnacentral:rRNA from 1 species
UGGGGAAUAUUGCACAAUGGGCGCAAGCCUGAUGCAGCCAUGCCGCGAGUAUGAAGAAGGCCUUCGGUUUGUAAAGUACUUUCAGCGGGGAGGAAGGGAGUAAAGUUAAUACCUUUGCUCAUUGACGUUACCCGCAGAAGAAGCACCGGCUAACUCCGUGCCAGCAGCCGCGGUAAUACGGAGGGUGCAAGCGUUAAUCGGAAUUACUGGGCGUAAAGCGCACGCAGGCGGUUUGUUAAGUCAGAUGUGAAAUCCCCGGGCUCAACCUGGGAACUGCAUCUGAUACUGGCAAGCUUGAGUCUCGUAGAGGGGGGUAGAAUUCCAGGUGUAGCGGUGAAAUGCGUAGAGAUCUGGAGGAAUACCGGUGGCGAAGGCGGCCCCCUGGACGAAGACUGACGCUCAGGUGCGAAAGCGUGGGGAGCAAACAGG